GCGGAGGCGGCUCAUCGUCGUGCGUGUCGCGUCCUCGGUUCCCUUGUCGAGCACACACUCCGCCGCCUUCGAAUGUUUACAAAGGAAGACGAGCAUUUCCCUCAGCUUUACGGCUAUAGGCAAGAAAAAAAAAAAGGAAAGAGAAAGAUGCACGCGCACCAUCGUAUACGGACUUCUUCCGAAACCCUGCGUGACCUGCACCAAGAAUUACCACCUCAAUCAGCAGCGGACGACGACUGCCUGCAACACUAGCCUGUGCCACGGACUUCAAGCACAACGGUGCGGCGCCGGCACCCCGGAACCACCAGUCUCGGUACUCCCGCGCAUUCACAGCUUUCUGGUCAAAGAAAGGUGCAGAAGAAGAGGAGGAGAAAGACGAAGAAGCUUUGUUCAGAUGUCGAAUAAAACCUACUUCUUGGCACCGCGGCGAACACAUUAAACUGGCCCGCGUCCAAAA